rnacentral:rRNA from 1 species
AUUGAACGCUGGCGGCAGGCCUUACACAUGCAAGUCGAACGAGUGGCGGACGGGUGAGUAAUGUCUGGGAAACUGCCUGAUGGAGGGGGAUAACUACUGGAAACGGUAGCUAAUACCGCAUACUAUCAGAUGUGCCCCGAUGGGAUUAGCUUGUUGGUGGGGUAACGGCUCCCCAAGGUGACGAUCCCUAGCUGGCCUGAGAGGAUGGCCAGCCACCCUGGGACGGAGACACGGUCCAUACUCCUACGGAAGGCAGCGGUGGGGAAUAUUGCACAAUGGGCGCAAGCCUGAUGCAGCCAUGCCGCGUGUAUGAAGAAGGCCUUCGGGUUGUAAAGUACUUUCAGCGGGGAGGCGUUACCCGCAGAAGAAGCACCGGCUAACUCCGUGCCAGCAGCCGCGGAAAUAC